rnacentral:rRNA from 1 species
CCUACGGGGGGCUGCAGUGGGGAAUAUUGGGCAAUGGGCGCAAGCCUGACCCAGCAACGCCGCGUGAAGGAAGAAGGCUUUCGGGUUGUAAACUUCUUUUGUCAGGGACGAGGCAAGUGACGUUACCUGUCAAAUAAGCCACGCCUAACUACGUGCCAGCAGCCGCGGUAAUACGUAGGUGGCAAGCGUUAUCCGGAUUUACUGGGUGUAAAGGGCGUGUAGGCGGGACUGCAAGUCAGAUGUGAAAACCACGGGCUCAACCUGUGGACUGCAUUUGAAACUGUAGUUCUUGAGUACCGGAGAGGCAGACGGAAUUCCUAGUGUAGCGGUGAAAUGCGUAGAUAUUAGGAGGAACACCAGUGGCGAAGGCGGUCUGCUGGACAGCAACUGACGCUGAGGCGCGAAAGCGUGGGGAGCAAACAGGAUUAGAUACCCUUGUAGUC